GAUGACUUGAGGCGUUUGGGUAGGUCCACAGAACUGGUGGACUCCCAAUUCCACAUCAGGAGGCUGACCACAAUGGAAGAGUUCUGUGCAUACGAGCAAGCACUUGACAGCAUGGACAAUCAAAACCUGCUGAUAAACCAACUUCAGAGAGUAGGUGGCAGUGAUGUCAGAGAGAAUGUUUUCACAGUCUUGUCAAGACUUAUGACAAAUGAACCGAUGACAGAAUUCAACUUCGCUGGCACAAACCGAAAAGAUAAACAACAAAAGAGGGGCCUGGGAGACACAAAUCUUUAUAGAGUAAUUAAAGGUACUCUUAUUCUAUGUUGUACUUUCAAACUUUGGGUACUCUUUAAUUCGGAAAGACUUUAUUGCUCAAUUGCUGUGAUGCAAGCCACAUUUUAUCAGUUUAUUUCAGCUUUGAGCUUAGUAAACCUUAAUGGUUCAUUUUUGAGAUUAUACUCAAGAAGAUAUUAACCAUCAUUUAUUUUAGUAGUAAUAUUAUAUAAUUUUCUCCUAGCUGCGGUACUGAAGUCCCACCCUACAUCGACAGAAAAAGAUAUGAAGGAGCACGCAAUGCAUUACUUGAAGAAUGCAUAUGCAAGGCAGGGGGCCAGGAGAUCUGGACAUUGAAAAUAAUAGGUUUCUGGUCCUGUUAGGACAAUUAGAUAGGGUUUGCAAAUGGUGGACAAAAAUAGUCUUAACUUCUAUUGUAAUAUUUUUUU